CUUUCGGUACCACACGGUACUGGUACCAUGAGGUACCAGUUUUCAUCCGGCCGUCCAUUGCUAAAGGGGUACGAUGGGCAUGAGGCUGUAUCGCGUGCGCUAUCCAUCUCAGGUUUUGGGCGACCUCAUCCUGAAGCGCCAUAGCCAUCCCAUCCCACGAGGCCACGACCAAGCAGGCAGCAAGGGCUACCCACCCGCUUGACCGGAAGUGCCGCCGCGGCAGGUGCACGGGCUACUGCCGGUGGACGUCGCCGCCGCCGUAGUAGGGGCACGUCGCCAACGCCGCCCUCCGCGGCCGCCGCUGGAGUCGUCGCCGCCGCCGCAGGAGUCAACCGCUGCCGCAGGAGCACGUCGCCCCUGCCGCCGUGGGGACACGUCACCAACGCCGCCCCCCGCGCCCGUCGCGGCCGCUGCUGGAGUCGUCGCCGCCGUUGCAGGUGCUUGUUGCCCCUGCCGCCGACUCCUGUGAUUUCAUCGCUGUCGUAGAGGCAAACUCUUUAUGAGUGAAGAUAUGGCUGACAAUUUCAGGACCCUUGAGGAGGAAGAGGAGUAUCGUACGAUUACUGCUAUGAGAUUCAAGACUGAGGAUGACGGCUUCAAGUUAUAGGCUAUUACAUUUUGCAAUCAUGUCUCAAAGUUGUUUUGUCAUUCCUACAAUUUCAGGAAAGUAGAAGAAGAUGUGUGAGAUGGAUAAGAAGUAGAAGCAGCCCUUUGCUAUGCACUUUACAUAGUUUUGUCAUUCUCUUGGUCGUAAUGAAUACAUUGGACUGUAAUGAAUCUUUGAUGUGCUUUCCUGUAGUAUGAUGGAUGUACUGCUAUUUUGAGUUGUGCUCGCAUGGUUGAAUUUUGAUGUGUUUAACUGUAUGUGAACAUGGUGUAUGCGAAUCUGAAAAUUAUGUGUUUUGGUGCUGGUGCGUUCUGGAAAUGAAGAUAUGUUUGAUGUAUUGCAA